rnacentral:rRNA from 1 species
AACGAACGCGGGCGGCAGGCUUAACACAUGCAAGUCGAACGAGAUCUUGGGAUCGAGUGGCAGACGGGGGAGGAAAACGGGGGAACAUCCCUUUCAGUUCGGAAUAACGUUGGGAAAAGAAAGCUAAUACCGGAUACGUCCUCCGGGAGAAAGAUUUAUCGCUGAAAGAUUGGCCCGCGGCGGAGGAGCUAGUUGGUGAGGUAACGGCUCACCAAGGCUACGAUCAGUAGCUGAUCUGAGAGGAUGAUCAGCCACAUUGGGACUGAGACACGGCCCAAACUCCUACGGAAGGCAGCAGUGGGGAAUAUUGGACAAUGGGCGCAAGCCUGAUCCAGCCCUGCCGCGUGAGUGAUGACGGCCUUCGGGUUGUAAAGCUCUUUUGUCCGGGAAGAUAAUGACUGUACCGGAAGAAUAAGCCCCGGCAAACUUCGUGCCCCCCGCCGCCGUAA